rnacentral:tRNA from 1 species
GCGCCCGUAGUGUAACGGAAAACAUCCGACCCUGCUAAAGUCCGGGAUGCUGGUUCGAUUCCAGCCGGGCGCA